AUCGUGAAUGCGCCGCCACAGUCAUCUACUAUCCGCCAGGGACUGGAUGAAUUAAAGAUCAAUAACAAUAUUCCAUCAAAUAUAACCAAUCACAAGCAGGGUCAGACUACACACGUACAUGGUUCCUUUCCAUAUUCAGGAAACGUCACGUUGUCCACCACCACGCGGGGAGGGGGGAGGAGUAUGCCAUGCGCCCUGUGGAAGGCGAUGAGGGCCUUCAUUUUUUGGGGGUUUAUUUUGGUUAUGUGACAUUUCAGAGCCCCAUUCCACAGACGCAUGAUGGAAGCAGUAGGAACCCGGAUGCACCAGCUUGAUCAGUGCACGUUUCAGGGACAGAGAAGGAUGUGUGUGGCGGCCUGUAGCCUCAUCCAAGCCUUCAGUAGCUACACCUCUCCAUGCCCUGAGACAACAGGCUCAACACUAGCCCAGCGCUGGUCACUGACAGGUCAGCUCCCAGAAUGCAGCUGUGUGUCGACAGCUCCAGCGGUUUUGUGCCUCCGCAAAAUUAUCUCACCGCUCUCCCCAGACAUUUCAGUUUCUCUGAGACGGGACGACGAACUGGGACCCCUCGUUCAGCAGAGAGGGUGUCCCUACGACCCAGAUUAGGGGGCCAAGACAGCUGCAUGCUGUCAUUUGACCUUCUGAAAUGUGUCGAUCGUCCCGUUAGAAAGCACUCCUGUGAUUUGGGAAAAAAGGGCGGGGAAAUUGCAGUCUCUUGUACAGGGCUCUGUGUGCUGGACAUUUUACAUUUAUUAAUUCUAAAGAAAAGCAUUUAAAUAAGAUAAAUGUCUAAGUGCCUACUUUAUAGUUUCCCUCAUCAUCAAAUGACAUAAAUUAUCCCAUAAGAUUUCCCACAGAAAAACAAACAUUUUCAAUGCACCAUUUCAUACUAUGUUUAUUGGUCAUAUGGUUAGAAGUAUUUCAAUAUUCCUUAAAAAAAUACAUGUAAAUUCACAAUAUGUGUAAGACACCUGUUAAUGAGAGUAAUAUUUAUAAACUUUUAGCAUGAGAAUAUAUUAGCAAUUCUGAACAUAAUGCAAAAAAUCAUUUUAUCAAUGUCAAUUCAAUAGCCCCAAUUUCUGAUGCCAUAGAAUGAAAAAAACUUCAUGAGACUGUGUGACUAAUUUUUUUUUUUAAGUACUUCAAAAACAUUAAAACAAUCAUAGAUUACAUUUUUCAAAAUGAUUAAGACAUAUUUCAAACCACUUUUCUGAUCCGAUGUAAUAACCUCCCUUGGAUGUCAUGCUGUUUAGUGUUAGAUAUGAAAUAGAGAAAGUUUUGAAGCCGUUUUGACUAUCUGAUAAACAAGCCCUAUGCGGAUUCAGAAGCGUUGCAGAAUGGCUCUGUAUUUAAUGCCAUGAGUGAGGUCAUGGGAGAUUCAUUGCCAAAGAGCACCCGUCUGCUCAGUUUGCAUCCUCUCACUGCUUUAUUAGGACCUGGGCUAUUUUCUUUGUGCUGGCAUGGCACAUAAAGUAAUGCAUUAAAUCAUGAUUCAAUCAUCCUUUCUUUUUGGCCACAGCUUAAGGCAAUCCGCAGAUGGCAGUGCCACUCGCUCAUUCACUCACUGACUCACUAACACAUUAGCUCACUGACUCACUAACUCACUAACUCAUUAACUCACUAACUCACUAACUCACUAACUCAUUAUUAACUCACUAACUCUGAGUGACCAGGCCCAAUGUCUACACUCUAACCUUAGUUUCACCACAAGGCUUGAGAAUAAGGGGAUCCUCUAAGGUCGUUAGCAUCCACUGAACAACGUUUUUCACUUGUUUUUUUCUGUAAACAGUCCAACAGUAUGGACAAGUUAAACAAUGUUAAACCAUUUCCCAUUAGAUUUCAGCCCAUUUAUCCCUUAUCUGAUGCUGGCUUUCAUCAAAUAUGUGAACUUGUACUGAACUGUGGCCAACUGCUCGCAAAACAUUACACUGGAACUAAGAGAGAAAGUUAAACAUCCAGACAGUAAGCCAGAGUGACACUAUAACUGCUUGAAAGCAUACAAACCAUGGAGAAGUAGCACUCACCAGAAAAGUCGCUGUGGUAUAGAUUAUUAUUAGUGGUCUAGGUAGGGGGUCUAUUCAGUAUACCACCAAGUAAAAUUACAAUAUUCAUGCCGAACAAAUCAGUAAUACAUUUCAAGUAGAUUUUUGCCACAAAUUAAGC